rnacentral:rRNA from 1 species
UACCCUGGCUCAAUGACAAAUACAUUCCGUUAUAAGAUUCAAUAGCCGCAAAAUAGUGCUAAGGUAGCAUAAUCAUUUGUUUCCUAAUUAGAAACUAGAAUGAAAGGUUUAACAUUUUAAUUAUUUUAUUAAUUAUUUGUAUAAAUUUAUACUAAACAUAAAAAUAUGUUUAUGACCUAAAAAGACGAUAAGACCCUAUUAAAUUUUACUUAAUGUUUAACUGGGGCAGUUAUUUAAUUAAUACUUUAAAUACAUAAAAAUAAAUACCUAAUAUAAAUAUACUGUAAUCAAAUUACUAUAGGGAUAACAGCAUUAUAUUAUUUAAAAGUUCAUAUUUAUAGUAAUGAUUGUGACCUCGAUGUUGAAUUAUAUUUCUAUUACUAACGCAACAGUUAAAUAAGUAGGUCUGUUCGACCUUUAAAAUAUUACAUGAUCU